CUACGGGUCGCUCCAGUCGCGAAAACUUUACAAUGCGGGAAACCGUGAUAAGGGAAUCCUCAGUGCUCAUGGUUUCCAUGGGCUUUUGUCAAGAGUAAACAUCUUGGCGAAUAAGGGGUGGGAAAGACCGGUGCCAGCAGCCGCGGUAACCCCGGCGCCCCGAGUGGGACUCAUUUUUAUUUGGCCUAAAGCGCCCGUAGCCGGUUUGGCAAAUCUUCUGUGAAACUGUUCGGCUCAACCGAACAGCGCGCAGGAGACACUACCAGACUUGGAACCAGGAGGCGUAGAGAGUAUUCCAGGGGGAGCGGUAAAAUGUUAUAAUCCCUGGAGGACUACCAAUGGCGAAGGCACUCUACAAGAAUGGAUUCGACGGUGAGGGACGAAAGCCAGGGGAGCGAUCCGGAUUAGAUACCCGAGUAGUC
rnacentral:rRNA from 1 species